UGCGAGUCGAACGAGUACGGGUUAUAGCUUGCUAUAACUGUCAGCUAAGUGGCGCACGCGCGUGUAGUAAUAUAUAGUUAACCUGCCCUAGAGAGAGGGAUAACGUUUGGAAACGGACGCUAAUACCUCAUAUGCCUUUAAUACAUAAGUAUGCAAGGGAAACAUUUAUGGCUCUAGGAUGGGACUGUACGGUAUCAGUUAGUUGGUGAGGUAAUGGCUCACCAAGACAAUGACACCUAACUGGUUUGAGAGGAUGAUCAGUCACACUGGAACUGAGACACGGUCCAGACUCCUACGGGAGGCAGCAGUGGGGAAUAUUGCACAAUGGACGAAAGUCUGAUGCAGCAACGCCGCGUGGAGGAUGACACAUUUCGGUGCGUAAACUCCUUUUAUAUAGGAAGAUAAUGACGGUACUAUAUGAAUAAGCACCGGCUAACUCCGUGCCAGCAGCCGCGGUAAUACGGAGGGUGCAAGCGUUACUCGGAAUCACUGGGCGUAAAGAGCGUGUAGGCGGAUAGGUAAGUCAGAAGUGAAAUCCAAUAGCUCAACUAUUGAACUGCUUUUGAAACUGCUUGUCUAGAAUAUGGGAGAGGUAGAUGGAAUUUCUGGUGUAGGGGUAAAAUCCGUAGAGAUCAGAACGAAUACCGAUUGCGAAUGCGAUCUACUGGAACAUUAUUGACGCUGAGACGCGAAAGCGUGGGGAGCAAACAGGAUUAGAUACCCUGGUAGUCCACGCCCUAAACGAUGC
rnacentral:rRNA from 1 species